GAGGAAUGUAUAGCAAUAGCUAGUUGCAUCGUUGUAAAUAUGAUGCAAGAUUGACUAUGUUGAAUAAAAUUCUAGGUAGAAUUAUGAUAAUGACAUUAUCUGCCUAUGUGUCUUGACCAAAUUACGUGCCAGCAGUCGCGGUAAUACGUAGAAGACUAGUGUUAUUCAUGUUUAAUCGGUUUAAAGGGUACCUAGACGGCAGAUCAAGCUUUCCGAGCAGAAUAAAAACAAGAACUGAUGAAACAAAAAUAAAAAUAAAAGGACUAAUUUGCUAGAGUUACUUACGAGGGAGUUUUAAAGUACUACUGGUGUAGAGAUGAAAUUCUGUAAUACCUCUUUUCGAAAGAAAAAUAAUGGCACAGGUAUAGGCGAAGGCAUCCCCUUAUGUGAUAACUGACGUUGAGGGACGAAGGCUUUAUAUAACGAACAGGAUUAGAUACCCUAGUAGUGGAAGCAGUAAAUGAUGAAUGUCAUAGAUUAGAUAGAUUAGUUUAUUCUAUAAAUGAAAGUGUAAGCAUUCCACCUCAUGAGUAAUUUGGCAACAUUGGAAUUGAAAUCAUUAGACCGUUUCUGAAACCAGUAGUGAAGUAUGUUGUUUAAUUUGAUAACCCGCAAAAAACCUUACCACAAUUUGAAUAUAUAUAUUAUAUUUAUUGUUUUUUUUUCAUUUUNUUCUGUUUUAUUUUUAAUAAAACAGGAAAAAACUUAAUAAGGAGGCAAUGAGAUAUAUUUACAAGCGUUGCACGGCUGUCUUCAGUUAAUGUCGUGAGAUUUUGGUUAGAUCCAUUAAAUUAACGUAAACCCUUACUUUAUUUUUAGAUAGAGUUGUUCCCCACUAUAUUGGAUAGGAU
rnacentral:rRNA from 1 species